rnacentral:lncRNA from 1 species
GUGCAAUCACAGCUCACUGCAGCCUCAAACUCCUGGCCUCAAGCAAUUCUCUUGCUAAGCCUCCUGAGUAGCUAGGACUACAGGCAUGCGCCACCACACCUAGUUAUUUUUUUCAUUUGUUGCAGAAACAGGGUCUUGCUAUGUUGACCAGGCUGAUCUCAAACUUCUGACCUCAAGCAGUCCUUCCACCUCAGCCUCCUGAAACACUGGGAUUACAGGCCAGAGCCACCAUGCCAGGCUAUGAAGUUUUAUUUUAAGUUUCGAGAUGUGGGGAUUUCUUUUUUAAAGCAGCAAGUACUACCUGAACUAAAACGGGUGAUUUUGCAACUUGCUACGGAUUAUGGAAAUAGUUGGCAUCUAUAUUGGUGAGGUACCCACCAAAACUCAAACAGAAGGAAUGCCAUUUUGGAGAACGAAUCUCAACUUUAACCUUCUUUCAUCCGUGGGAGUAAAGAGACAGAAAGGGAAUGAAUUUCCAAGAAGACCAGCGUAGAACGGAAAAAUAUCAGAGGAGGGAGAAUUGUUAAGGAUUUCCAGUAUCUCAAGUGUGGAUGCUGUCCUGAGCUGACCCAAGGCUCUGGAAAGGUAGGAGCUCUCUUUUGGGGGAAGAAGGGAAGAAUCCCAUUCCUGAAUGAGCAGGUGCAGACACUUGCAAGAUAAGAGGCACACACAGAGAUGUUUACCUGAAGAACUGCCUGGUGGAUGGCUAAGAAAGUGGCCCUGCCUAACACACACGUACGGAGAGACGGAGUUUGCAGCAAGACAGUGAAUUAUCUGCUUCUCAGUGGUGGCAGGGCCCUGUGAGUAGAAUCCUUACAUGUCCUCUUCCAUGGGCUUGUGGGAUAAGAGCAGAGCAGCCUGUAGGCCUGUCCAUCCCCAGCCUUGAGGUAAAUCCCACCAGUGAACAAGAUCCACCCAUCCACCCAGAGCUCCCUAUUAGCCUUGUGAGAGAAUGGCCAGAAAUAAAACAGAAACUCCUUUAUUCACAAAUCCCUAAUUUAUAAAUACUUUGAAACAAUGAAGAAUUGCCAGCUGCUGUGGUAAACAGAGCACAGAAGAGAGGUGAGUAAAGGUUCUAGUUAGCACUCGCUGAGCACUUUGUGCUGGCACUUUUCUAAAGAUUUUGCAAAUGUUAACUGAUGUAAUUCUCACAUCCAUUCUCUGGGGUGGUUUUCUUUUUCUUUUUUUUUUUUUUUGAGAUGGAGUCUCGCUCUGUCGCCCAGGCUGGAGUGCAGUGGCGUGAUCUCGGCUCACUGCAAGCUCCGCCUCCCGGGUUCACGCCAUUCUCCUGCCUCAGCCUCCUGAGUAGCUGGGACUACAGGCGCCCGCCACCACACCCGGCUAAUUUUUUGUAUUUUUUAGUACAGACGGGGUUUCACCGUGUUGGCCAGGAUGGUCUCGAUCUCCUGACCUCGUGAUCCGCCCACCUAGCCCUCCCGAAGUGCUGGGAUUACAGAGGUGAGCCACCACGCCUGGCCUCUGGGGUGGUUUUCACAAAGGAGGAAACCAAAGCACAAAGCCUAGGUGGCUCGCUCUAGGUCAACAACAAGCCAAUGCCAGAGCUGGGAUGAGAACCCAGGUUCUGUGUCUGUCAUGAACAUACACUGCGUGGCUCUGAAGAGAACAGAGAAAGUCAAAAGGAGAUAAUUUCUUAUAGACUUUAAAUAAUUUUUCCAGAGAAAUUCAAGAAAACAUCACAUCCAUAGAAACAAAACAAAGCCAAGUUGCUAUAUAAAAGAAACAAUAUGUAAAUGAGAACAAAUCAUUGGAAAUGAAAAAUACGACGGCCAAAAUAAAAAUGCAAUUAAAAAGUUGUAGAAGUCAUCAAAUCUUUCAAAGUAUAGAGCAAAACACAAAGGAAUACAAAAGAAAAAUAAAAUUUGAGGAGCACUGGCAAUAAAUUUAUUGAGAGGGCAGUCGCCAUCUAAUAAAUGUUCUAGAAAAAGAGAAGUGGAAAAAAAUUAGGGAGGCUACUGCAGAAAAAGAAUACUGUUUCUUAGAACUGAGGUUCUGAGAGUAUCUGAGGUUUUAGAUUUAAAAUGUCCACUGAUUUCUUGGUAGCAUGAAUACAAAAUGACCUAGACAUAAACUUAUUCCCAGGAAAUUUCAAAGCACCAAGUGUCAAGAGAAGCUUAUUCACUUCCAGAAGUGAACCAGAAACUUCAGACUGGUACAGAAAUAUUUCACUGCCACUAGUAGGCAUGAGAAGGCAGAGACAUGAUGUUGUGAAGAAAAAUUAUUUUGAGCUUGGGUAUUUCCAGGCUUCCCUGUUCUUGCCAUCCUGCUUUGUGCCCCGGGAGACCAAUAAACUCUGAUAAAGAGUGUGGAAUUUCAAAUCUAGAAAUUCAUACUCUCUAAACUAUUAAUAGAGUAAGAAAUAGAGAUACAUGUAUAUUACCUAUGGUCAUGAAAAUAACUAAAACGAUAACUAAAUAUAAAAUUAUAAUGUCAAGAAAAUGUAUAAGGAAGACAUGAGAGGGAACUAGAGUAGUGUAAAGAGAUAAGUUAUUUGUCUCCCAAAUUCAAGUGAGGAAAGAAAAGAAGUUUUAUAGGAGGAAUGCAAGCCCUUUCAAAUGAUCAGGCCUAGAGAGACGUGAAAAUGAGACAGCAAUCACAUCCUACUCCUGCCUUUAAGCUAUGUAUUCACCUAUUGAAACAGCUUGCUAUUGUCACAGAUAGCUAUGAAUUAAACUAAUAAUGCUUCACCAGACACUGUAUUCCACACCCCACAGUGUAAAGAAUGUAUAGCUGAUCAGAGAUCAGUUUUAUUUCUGUAAACCAAUAAGAAUUCCUCACAGAACCUUGCACCAACACUCUCUCUGUCUCCCGUUCUCUCUCUCCUUUUUUUCCUUUAAAAGCCUGCCUGUAACAAAGGCCAAAUAAAGCUCAUAUCCAAGGUUACUUGGACCUGAACCUCCUGGGCAGCUGUCCUUAUCUUAGAAUGUGAGCUAAAGACUCACAAGGCUCACAACUUUGGAAAGGAGAUCUUUAUUUCUCAUGAAGGCCUGCAACCUGCAGGCUGGCCAUCCCACGGGCUGGGAAGUGUAGCCUCCAGCCAAAGCCCAAAGCAAGCAUGUUGAGGGAGGUGUGGAGGGAACAGGAAUUUAGGCUCAACAGGCUGGCUAAACAUAAGUAUUUAACAAGCUAUAGGAGACAUCAUGAAUAUCUGUGAAAGGAGAAACAAGCACAUGUGCAACUGAGCUUCAUGCUUCUUCAUGGGUCACAUGUUUUAAAAAAUGGUGAUGUUGGCAUGAUCUAAGAGUGGAUAUCUGGGCCCUCAGAUAUCCAAAAGGUGACACAGAGAAGGACACAAAAACUCUCACUAAGCAUCCUCCACAAAUUGGCCAAAACUAGUCCAGAGAUGGUCAGUUUUUAGGUGGGGAAGCAUCGUGAAACUGCUGAGCUGUUGGGUCAAAUGUGUCUAUGUCAAAUGAAUCCAGUUGUAGCCUCAGAUGACUGGCUAAAGGUGAUUAAAAAAUGAGUUGUCUGUUUCUUGCUUUCUAGAGCUGGUUUCUGUUUACUCCUUAGGAAGGAAUUCUGGUUAAAGGAUAAUGAGGAAGGGACUUACUGAGGCGUGUCUGACCUCCCAUCCCAUCAUGGCCAGGAACCCAGUUUUUAAGGUUUAUCUGGGAUUCUCCUGGCCAACAGGGGAAUCCGUUUAGUCCACUGAGGGACUUAGGAUUUUUAUUUCUCAGUCUCAAGUAAACUGUUUAAAUCUCAUUUUGCAUUUCAUUCUCUUCUUUUUAGGUGGGCAAAAGAGAAAAAGUAGGAGAAUUCCUAGAAUUUAUAUUUAGAGUAAGUGAGCAGCAGUGUCAAUGCUAAAAAAUUAUAUGGUUAUCCUAAAAAAUUUCUUUCUGCAAAGCUGUGGCUGAGUUGGUAAUAAAUUAUUAACCACUGGAAAUGACAAGAUGUGUAAAACCACCCUCUAUUUUUUAAAUAUUUGGCUAUUCCACUCCUCCCAUAAGCUUCCUUUGUCCCAAGAUUAAUUAUUCUAAAAUGGUUGGGCCAUUUCUCCAGAAUACAGAAUAUGUUAGCUGUCAUUAUUGCAGACUUGUGAAAUAGUAGCGUUUGAAUCUCUUGUCUGAGCACGGCUGUGAGAGGUAUUCAGAGGAUUCUGUGGGCAGGUAAUGUUUUGGUUUCAUGAGCAGGAGCAAAAAUCCAGAAGGCUUUAACACUUCAGUGCAUCCCAAGGCACCCCUAUUGAGUAUUGUAUAGAGGAUCUCAAAAGAUAACAGCCACCUGAGGAAGGAAAGCAGCUCAUAGCAGACUGAGCUGUGUGAGGUCUGCGAAAUUUAUCAGGCCCAGAGAGGCAUGAGCUUUGGACUUCAGUCCUUCCCCUGCAUCCAUUCCCAGGGGCAAUUAUUUUAAGACAUUUUUGUUCCUGAGUAGCCGCCCAGCCCAUUACCUUCAUGUUCCUGUAAUAUAUGAAGCAAAGAACAAUGAAUAGCCAAUUAAUAACAUAUUAUUUCAAUGUAAACUCUAGAAACUAUCUCUUUUUUUCCUUAAAAACUCACUUGUAACUGCUACAGUGAGAGUGUAUAUUCAGGACAACUUGAAUCUAUGUUCCCAGGUGGCCAUCUUCAAGCUCAGAUAAACUCUAUACUUAAUCAUAAUUUCUGAAUCCCAUUGUUUAAGGUUGGUACACCACAAUGGCCUAGCAUCCUUCUGUUCCAUGAGAGCAAUAGACACCAUUCAAAGGGCUAUUCCUCUCCACUCUCUAGACUCUCUUUGUACCAGCAAGUUAACUGUUGAGCAAUUCUUUGGUAAUUAAACAAUCAUUACAGCAUUAUUAGCUCCACACUCUGGAUGACAUCUUUAAGCCUCUCUCAUGUGUUAAGCAUGUCUAAUGUGUUUUUCCACUUUUGGAUAACUUAAGAGACCAAAAUAUACCACCUCAAAAUAUGCCUCUUUGGCAUAAGCAUUAUUUUGAGCCAACUAUUUUUGAGAAACAGCAGACACCGGAGAAACAGAGUAGAAGUUACUCUUUUGCAAGGAAGACUUACUUCUAUAAUGAAAAUCUCCUUUUGUAAUGAUACCUUCCUUUCAGUACCAGGAAGGAAAGGAUGGCUAAAUCACAAAAGACUCAUCUAUGGAGAAAGCACCAAUUUAAAUCUGCAUAACAAACCUCACCCUUUUCUAUCAUGCUUUCCCUGGUCACCUCCCCAGGACUGGCUUCCCCCCCAGUCUUCUUUCUUUGUUUUAGAUGAAGAUGGUAUUUAAGCCUAAAUUCUAAGCCAUUUCUUUUAUAUUUCCCCUUUUUUCCUGAGUAUCUCCCAUGCACACCUAAAGAAUACAUGUCAAUAAACUUCUGUUUGUUUUGUCCUUUUUUUGUUUGUUUGUUUUACAGGGGAUCCUAGCUAAAUAGAAGAGUAGAGGAAAAACGACUGUUUCAACCCUUACCGUAAUCAACUUUAUUGUGAUAAAGAUUCACAUAUUUUGCAAUAUGUCUUAUCUUUAUGGAAAUUAAAAAAUCCAAUCACAGAAUCAAAACUUCAGAAAUAUAGCCAAAUAUAAGUGGAAAUUUAGUAUACAAUAAAUGCAACAUCUCAAAUUAGUGGAGAAAAAUAGAAUUAUUAAAAAGCAGUAUUGGAAAAACCAUAUACCUAUAUGGAACAAGAUAAAAUUAGAUCUAUUCAUUACAUUCAAUACCAAAAAAUUCUAAAUAUAUCAGAUAUUUAAAUGUAAAAAAAAGCAACAAAAUAAUUUUUAAAACUUCGAUGAACUUUUCUAUUAUCUAGGAAUAAAGAAAUGUUUUCCUAACAUAAAAUUUUAAAACGUAAGAGAAAUGUUUAGUAAAUUUAAAUAAAUAAAAUAUUUAAGAUCUUAGUAUGAUCGUGUCAGAGGCAUUUGAACCAGUGUGACUCCAUCUUGAGUAGGGGCUGGGUAAAAUAAGGCUGAGACCUACUGGGCUGCAUUCCCAGGAGGCUAGGCAUUCUUAGUCACAGGAUGAGAUAGGAGGUCAGCACAAGAUAUAGGUCACAAAGACCUUGCUGAUAAAACACGUUGCAGUAAAGAAGCCAGCCAAAUUCUACCAAAACCAAGAUGGCAAUGAAAGUGAGCUCUGGUCAUCCUCACUGCUCAUUAUACACUAAUUAUAAUGCAUUAGCAGUCUAAGGGACACUCCCACCAGUGCCAUGACAGUUUACAAAUGCCAUGGCAGUAUCAGGAAGCUACCCUAUAUUGUCUAAAAUGGGAAGGAACCCUCAGUUCCAGGAAUUGCCCACCCCUUUUCUGGAAAACUCAUGAAUAAUCCACCCCUUUUUAGCAUAUAAUCAAAAAAUAACUAUAAGUAUCCUUAGUCCAGC